rnacentral:tRNA from 1 species
GGAUGGGUGGUCGAGUGGUUGAAGGCACCGGUCUUGAAAACCGGCAAGAGGGCAACUUCUUCGUGGGUUCGAAUCCCACCCCAUCCGCCA